CCAGACUCCUACGGGAGGCAGCAGUGGGGGAUAUUGCACAAUGGGGGGAACCCUGAUGCAGCGACGCCGCGUGGGUGAAGAAGCGCCUCGGCGCGUAAAGCCCUGUCAGCAGGGAAGAAAAUGACGGUACCUGAAGAAGAAGCCCCGGCUAACUACGUGCCAGCAGCCGCGGUAAUACGUAGGGAGCAAGCGUUGUCCGGAAUUACUGGGUGUAAAGGGAGCGUAGGCGGGAAUGCAAGUUGGAAGUGAAAGGUAUGGGCUCAACCCAUGAACUGCUUUCAAAACUGUAUUUCUUGAGUGAAGUAGAGGCAGGCGGAAUUCCUAGUGUAGCGGUGAAAUGCGUAGAUAUUAGGAGGAACACCAGUGGCGAAGGCGGCCUGCUGGACGAUGACUGACGUUGAGGCUCGAAAGCGUGGGGAGCAAACAGGAUUAGAUACCCGAGUAAC
rnacentral:rRNA from 1 species